AACUCUUGAAUUAGAGCCAUAUAUCAUUGCUCAAAAGUUUUUAACCUGACCCUGACAAGUUUCUGCGUUUCUAGAUUUAUUGGUAGCCCUUUGUCUAUUCAUUUCUUUAUCCAUGUGUGAGAAAGCACAGACAACAAUUGUGAUCAACAGUUUUCAAGUGCUUGCUUAAAGGCAUUUUGGUGGAAGAUAAUGAAGCCUGUAACACCAUGCAAGAUUGCUCUUGUGGUUGUGUUCUUGUUCUUGUUCAAUUCAAUUGUGAUUGAAGACAUCUAUGGAGGUGAUGAAGCUCCUAAUCAUUUCAGUCAUGGAAAAUUUGAAGCUGUAGAAGACGGGACCUCUGAAGAAGGAGAUUUAAUCAUGGAGGACUAUACUCGAUCUCAGAAGAAGACUCCCAUUCAUAACUAAAUGGCAAGCAACCAGAAUGUCAAGUCUAAGAGAAGCCUGAAUCAACCCCAUGUAAAGCCGUUUUGGAAGUGCCUUCGAGAUGAAGUGUGCUUGGGCUCGAGCGGAGCCAGGGUUAUCAACCCUUUCGUCUUUUUGCUUUUGUCUUUUGUUAUUUUGGAAUUUGUUUUGAAUGUAAGGUUAAGAAUGUUGAUAUAUGACUAAUGUUUGAAUUGACUAUGAUGUAUUUUUUUUUCAAAAGAAGAAUGGAAGUUUAA